GGCUGAAAAAGGUGUCUCUGGAAUCACACUCCUAGAUCUUUCUUGAAGACUUGAAAAGAAUUAGAUUAGGGCCAUGGGGACACAGAAGGUCGCCCCCGUUCUGAUCGUUGCCAUUACAGUUGCUACAAUCGGCUCGUUCCAAUUUGGCUACAACACUGGGGUCAUUAAUACUCCUGAGAUGAUCAUAAAGGAAUUUGUCAAUAACACUUUGAAGAACAAGAAAAAUGCCUCUCCCUCUGAGAUGUUGCUCGCGACCCUCUGGUCCUUGUCUGUGGCCACAUUCUCCGUUGGUGGUAUGAUCGGCUCCUUUUCCAUCAAACACUUUGUCAACCACUUUGGCGGGUGCAAUUCAAUGCUGAUCGUCAGCCUGCUGGCUGUCACUGGUGGCUGCCUUAUGGGCCUGUGUGAAGCAGCUGAGUCAGCUGAAAUGCUGAUACUGGGCUGCCUGGUUAUUGGAGUCUUCUGUGGACUGUGCACAGGCUUUGUGCCCAUGUACAUUGGAGAGAUCUCGCCUAUUGCCCUGCGGGGUGCCUUUGGCCCUCUCAACCAGCUGGGCAUUGUUGUCGGAAUUCUGGUGGCCCAGGUCUUUGGUCCAGCCUUCGUCACUGGGUCUGAAGCUCUAUGGCUGCUGUUACUGAGCUUUACCAUCCUUCCUGCCAUCCUACAAAGUAUAGCCCUACCAUUUUGCCCUGAAAGUCCCAGAUUUUUGCUCAUUGACAGAAGAGGAGAAUGCUAAGCAGAUCCUCCAAUGGUUGUGGGGCACCCAGGAUGUAUCCCAACAUCCAGGAGAUGAAAGAUGAGAGUGCAAGGAUGUCACAAGAAACGCAGGUCACCGUGCUGGAGCUCUGUAGAGUAUCCAGCUGCCGACAGCCCAUCACCAUCUCCAGCAUGCUCCAGCUCUCUCAGCAGCUCUCUGGGACCAAUGCUGCGUUCUGUUACUCCACAGGAAUCUUCAAGGAUGCAGGGGUUCAAGAACCCAUCUUUUUGUUCCAUACUCAUGACUGUUUCUUUGUUAUUAAAGGACGACUAUAAUGGGAUGAGCCUUGUCUGUACUGGGGCUAUCUUGCUCUUUGUGGCCUUCUUUGAAAUUGGACCAGGCCCCAUGUGGCCGAACUCACCAGCCAUGGCCCCUGCCCAGCUGCAAUGGCAGUGGCCGGCUGCUCCAACUGGACCUCCAACUUCCUAGUCGGAUUGCUCUUCCCCUCUGCUCUUACAAUUUGGGAGCCUACGUUUUUAUUAUCUUCACCUGCUUCCUCAUUACCUUCUUGACCUUUACCUUCUUCAAAGUCCCUGAGACCCGUGGCAGGACUUUUGAGGAUCUCACAUGGGCCUUUGAAGGGCAGGCAUAUGGUGCAGCUUGAUCCGGGAAGGAAGGCGUCGUGGAGAGGAACAGCAUCCAGCCUGCUAAGGAGACCACCACGAAUGUCUAAGUCACGGCUCCUUCCACCUCCCUCCCGGCAUGGGAAAGCCACCUCUCCCUGAACGACGGAGAGACCUCAUCAGGAUGCACCCAGGACUGCUUCUGAAUGAGGCUACUUGAUUCCUUUCUUAUCCCAUGCACUCCAUAAGCACCCCAAGGCUGGGAUUUGUUGGAUUUUUCAAUGGCUUUUAAAAUAUUUUAUUUCCUGGACAUUCUCUUCUGCUUAAGAGAGACCAGGAGAACCUACCUUCAUUUCAGGAGGGAUUGGCUGCUUGGUGUAUGACAACUUUGCCAGCUUUUCCUCCCUGGGGUUCUAAUAUUGCCCCACCAGGGGAUAUAGGAAAGGAAGAGUAAGGUGCAGUUCCCCCAGCCUCAGACUUAUCAGGAAGCAGAUACGUAUCCGAGUGUGGAAGGCAGAGGGGGUUUAUGUAGGAGCACCUGUCUCACUUCCAUUCAGCUCUACACAGCAAACUAACUUCAGGGAUUUUUUGUUUUAUCCUCUGGUUUAAUUAUAUAAUUUAGUUUUUUUAGUUGAAGUUUCGGGAUACAUGUGCAGAAUGUGCAGGUUUGUUACACAGGUAUAUAUGUGCCAUGGCGGAAAUAUUUUUUUAAGUGUAAUUUUUCCGAAUA